UUUUUUUUUUUUGGGGGGGGUGCACCCACAGCAUAUGGAUGUUCCCAGGCCAGGGAUUGCAUCCCAGCUGCAACUGCAGAAAGCCAGAUCCAUAACCCACUGCACCAGGCUGAGGGUCAAAUCCAUGCCUCUGCAGCAACCUGAGCUGCUGAAGUUGGAUUCUUAACCCACUGCUCCACAGUGGGAUCUGAAGAGUCCUCAUAUUUGAAGUGUUUUUUUAUGACUUUAGUAUGAUUUUCAUUCCAUCUCAUCCAGAGUAAAACACACAACCAAACUAAGGUGAAUAAUGUCAACAUUUGAGAGGGUAUUUGGGGAAAAAACCAUGACACACUUGAUAUAACUGCUGCAAAUAUGGUGUUGAGAAUUAACGGAAUGGCUGGAAAAAAAAAAACUCCCCCCAGAUAGACCUUUAUGGUAUGCAAAUAAGAAAGAAAAUUAAACAGGAAUUACUGAGGAGAUGGUUGAGGACAAACUGAUAGAAAAACAAAUAAAAGGAAAGGCAUCGGUGCUUUGAGAAGACAAGAACUGAAGCCUGUCCUUUAGUAUCACAAAAAACUCAGGAUAUUUAAAUGCAAAACAUUUUCUCUUGGGCAUCACAAUGCCACUUAGUUCUGAGGCCAGUGGCCCAUCACACACAAGGGGCUCCUCAACUGAGGAGACUGCCCAGGGCUCCCUUCACAUCCUUGUUCCUCAGGCUGUAGAUGAAGGGGUUCUGCAAGGGGAGGACCACGGUGUACAUCACUGAGGCCAUGGAGCUUCUCCCGGGAGAACAGAUCACAUCACAUCUGAGGUAGACUGCUGGGCUUAUCCCAAAGUACCAGGAGACCACAGAGGGGGGAGGCUCACAGGUGGAAAAGGCUUCCUAUUUUCCCUCAUAGAGGACAUUCUCACUAAAGAGGAGACAAUAUGAAAGUAAGAGAAAAAGAUUCCAGUGAGGGAAACACACCCAGCAAGGCAGUUGUCACAGACAAGUGGAUGCUGUUAGGGAUGAUCCCUAUGGCUCCCUCUUUCAGAUGCUGCCUGCCUAGUGGAAUCCUCCAGAAGAGGGAAGAGUAGGAUGUCCCUUGUGAGGAAUUAUUUGGGCUACACAGAGAAGAAGAGGAAACAAGAUGGCAAAGCCUUUAAAAUAAAAUGCAAAGCAUGUCUGUGAGUGUGAGAUCAUAUAUACAUGCUUUUUCUUUUUCAGUUAUUUUUUAAUUUUUUGGUGACACUCCUGGCAUGCAGAAGGUCUUGGGCCAGGGAUCAAACCAAUGCCACAACCAUGACCCAAACUACAAAAGUGACAACACUGAAUCCUUAGCUUUCUGAGCCACCAGAGAACUCCCAUAUCUGCUCUUGAGUGGAAAUGCGUCGUAGUGAAAACCAGAAACAGACUCACAGACAUAGAGAACAGAUUGUGAUUGCCCAGGGGAAAGGGGGCAGGAGUGUGAUGGAUGGGGAGUUUGGGGUUGGUAGAUACAAACUGUUACACUUGAAAUGGAUAAGCAUUGAGGUACCUCUCUAUAGCUCAGGGAACUAUAUGCACUCUCGUUGGGUAGAAUAUGAUGGAAGAAUGUAGGAGAAAAGAAUAUAUAUAUGACUGGACCAAUGUGCUGUGUAGCAGAUAUUGACAACACUCUAAAUCAACUAUACUUCAAUUAAAAAAUCAGCACCUAGGAAUUAUCAUACUAAGUGAAGGGACUCAGACAGAGAAAGACAAAUAUCAUAUGCUAUCAUAUAGGUGGAAUUUAAAAAGUGAUACAAGUGAAUUUGUUUACAAAACAGAGACAGAAGCACAGACCUUGAAAACAAAUGUAUGGUUACCAAAGGGGAAGGAUGAGAAAGGAGGGAUGGAUUGGGGGUUUGGGAAGGGCAAAGGGAAAUCUACUCAAUGUUCUGUGUGUUUAAAUCUGUUUUGUAAAUUGGUUCACUUGUAACUUCUCAGGGUGGGGGGCUGCACACUUGGCAUGUGGAAGUUUCUGGGCCAGGGAGUGAACCUGCACCACAGCAGUGACCCGAGCGGCUGCAGUGACAAUGUGAGAUCCUCAACCUGCUGCGCCACAAGAGAACUCCUCUACCAUUUUUUUUAGAUUCCACACUAAGUGAUAUCAUGAGAUAUGAUACAGAUGCUAACUGCAAAUGGGCAUAAAGGAACUCUCUAGGGUGAUAAGAUGUUCUAGAAUGGGACCAUGAUGAUCAUUGAAUAACUCUACACUAAACAAGGAAAUGGAAUUUAUCAUUUCAAUGGCUGAAUUUCAUGGUAUAUAAAUUAUCCCUCAAGAAAUCCAUUAAUAAAUUUUAAAAAGUUUUUUCUAGAAUUAUCCAAGGAGUGUUGAAAACCUGUAUCUUUGUUAUCAACAUUCUUUAUGACACACCAGUAUUUUUAUGGCUGCCACUCUUUACUGCAAUCACAUUUACCUCUUUGGUCCCCAGUUCUGUUUGUAUGGAGCAGAUGAUAAAUACAUUAUGGAUUAAACUUAGUGGUAUCAAGUUGAGUUAAAGCCACACUGAAUAUAUUAUUCCUACCUAACAAGUUAGGAUUUUGCAGGAAUUUGGAGAUCUUUCUAUAUACCCAAUACUUGUUUGUUUCUGUGUUUGCUUAGUUUUGCCCCAGAAGUCCUUGGUACCAUUCAUGGUAUCAUUUUCUCUUCAUGGUCUUGAUCACCUGUCUUAGCUUUGGUUCAACAGAAGCAGAUGCCCAGCCAAGGAUUCACGUGUAAGCACUUUAUUGGAAGGAGUAAGGACCAUGGAACAUGGGUUAGAGUAAGGAGAAGUGAUACAGGGAAGAGAGUACAUCCAAUCAAGCUUACCUUAAGUCAUCCCCCACAUGAGUGAGCAGAGUUUUCAUCCUGUAGGGAAAUUCUGGGAAAUGGCACAAAACCCAAACAUCAGAAUUAACAUGUGCCUAAAGGGUGAAGAAGAUGGUAUCCCCCAUGACUCUCCAUCAAGAGCUGUCCCUGGUGGGGCAUAAUUCGCAGUCAGGUCUGCCAUCAAGCAUGCAAAAUGUUGGUUCCACCCAGUGCUGACAGAGACAGACAGGCCAGAUUGAAGUGGACAUGGGGAAGGGAUCCCAGGGUAAGUAGGGGAAAUGAUGACAGAUUCAGCCACCCCAUCCUUCACUGCAGACUCAAUUCUAUCAAUAGUCUUCUCAUAAGGUGAAUUACCUUCUGAGUACAUUCCACAAGUGUGCAACUACCACUCCCGGUGGCACCUCCCGAAUGUUCCCUCCCCUAAAAUAAACCAGGUAACAAAAUGUUUUAUUCAUUUAUUAUAUCCAUUAUUACAUAUUUGAGAAUCUUGUAGCGCAUCGGAAAACUGCCCUGAUGGGACAUAAAUGUCCAAUGAAACAAGAAAAGGAAAGAGGAAGGGGAAGAAGGAAGGCAAAGGAUGAAGCAGUGUGGAGUUCCAAUCAUGGUUCAGCAUUCACGGACCCAAAUAGGAUUCAUGAGGAUGUUUGAAGAUCCCAGGCCUUGCUUAUUGUGUUCCUGAUCUGGCAUUGACCUGAGGUGAGGUGCAGGUCACAGAGGCCUCCUGGAUCCCACCUUUGUGGUGGCUGCAGUGUACAGUGGCAGCUACAGCUCCAAUUCAAUCCCUAGCCUGGGAAAUUCCAUAUGCCACAGUAGCAGACCUAAAAGGUCAAAAAAAAAAAAAAGACAAUGAAAAAGUUUUUGAGAGUUUUCUGACACAAUAUAUGGCUAUUAAUCACUUGAACAAGCUGACACUCAAAACUAGAUUCCCACUUUUUUAUUUUUGGCUGCUUUAGGCAGCAAUGACAGCUUAUGAAACUUUCCAGGAUACUUGUCAAAUCAGAGCUGCAACUGACAGCCUACACCACAGUCACAGAAAUGCCUGAUUGGAACUGCAUCUGUGACUUAAACCACAGAUCACUCAAUGCAGCAUCCUUAUCACAAUGAUCAAGGCAGGGAUGGAACCAUCAUCCUUGGGUCUUAACCUGCUGGCCAAGACAGGAAACCCUUGCCUGUAAUAGGUUUGAUUCCCUCAGAAGCUGAUACUGAACCAAGGAUGCAUCUUCAAGCACUUUAUAGGAAGGAGCAAAGAACAUGGGCGGGAGAGAGGAGAAGUGAACACAGGGAAGAAAACACACUCAGUCAAUCAGUCCAUGAGAAUGACUGCAAAAUGCUGAAGAAACAUGGAAUAUAUGGACAAGAUAUAAAGGAGAAAUGUCAAAAGGGAAUUGCUGAGAGGGCUGUUUGAGAAACACCAAUCCAAAAACAAAGACAUGUUAAGUCACACAUGCUUUACAAAAAUAGGUCAAGCAUGUUUUGAGGGGAGAAAAGAAAAAAGACAUUGAUCUUUGCAUCAUUUGUCUUUGGAGCCCACCAUGUGCACUUAGUUCUGAGGCCAGUGGCCCAUCACAAACAACAGACUCAGCUGAGGAGCCUUCCCAAAGCCCUCUUCACAUCUUUGUUCCUCAGGCUGUAGAUGAAGGGGUUCAGCAUGGGAGAGACCACGGUGUACAUCACUGAGGCAAUGGAGAUUCUAUGGGGAGAAUGGGUCACAGCAGAGGUGAAGUAGACCCCUAGACUCGUUCCAUAGAACAAGGUGACCACAGAGAGGUGAGACCCACAGGUGGAAAAGGCUUUGUACUUGCCCUCAGUGGACACCAUUUUCAUUAAGGAGGAGACAAUCUGAGAGUAAGAAAAGAGGAUCCCAGUGAGAGGAAGCAUACACAGCAGGGCAGUGGCCACAUACAUACAGACCUCAUUGAUGAAGGUGUCUGAGCAGGCCACCUUGAGAAUCUGAUCCAGUUCACAGAAGAAAUGUGGGAUUUCAGUGCCUACACAGAAUGUCAGCUGCGUCAACAGUAGAAGAUGAACAAGAGCAACACAGAAAAAGACAAACCAACACAUCAGAACCAGAAGGACACAGAGGCGGGCGUCCAUGAUGACCACAUAGUGCAAGGGGUGGCAGAUGGCCACAAAACGGUCAUAGGCCAUCACGGUCAGGAGGAAAUCAUCCAUUCCAACAAAAACGACAAAAAAAUACACCUGAGUGAGGCAUCCUAUGUAGGAGAUGUCUUUGCUCUGUGCCUGGAUGUUCACUAGCGUCUUCGGGACAGUGGUAGAGACGAAACAGAUGUCAACAAAAGACAGGUUGGAGAGGAAGAAGUACAUGGGGGUGUGGAGGCGGGAGUCAGAGCUGACAGCCAGGAUGAUGAGUAGGUUCCCAAGCACGGUGACUAGGUACAUGGAUAAGAAGAGCCCAAAUUGGAAGGGCUGCAGUUCAGGGUCAUCUGAGAGACCCAGGAGGAGGAACAGUUUUGAUACUCCUGUGUGGUUUCCUGCUUCCAUGUA
rnacentral:lncRNA from 1 species